rnacentral:rRNA from 1 species
AGAGUUUGAUCAUGGCUCAGAGUGAACGUUGGCGGCGUGCCUAACACAUGCAAGUCGAACGAUACCUGAGUAGCUUGCUAUUCGGGAAGAGUGGCGAACGGGUGAGUAAUACGUGGGUAAUCUCCCCUCGAGUGAGGAAUAAUCUCGCGAAAGCGUGACUAAUACCGCAUAAUACUCUGGAGCACAAGCUUUCAGAGUCAAAGCCUUCGGGCGCUUGAGGAUGAGCCUUCGGCCUAUUAGCUAGUUGGUAGGGUAAUGGCCUACCAAGGUUAUGAUGGGUAGCCGGCCUGAGAGGGUGUACGGCCACACUGGGACUGAGACACGGCCCAGACUCCUACGGGAGGCAGC